AACGAACGCUGGCGGCAGGCUUAACACAUGCAAGUCGAACGCCCCGCAAGGGGAGUGGCAGACGGGUGAGUAACGCGUGGGAACAUACCCUUUUCUACGGAAUAGCUCUGGGAAACUGGAAUUAAUACCGUAUACGCCCUACGGGGGAAAGAUUUAUCGGGGAAGGAUUGGCCCGCGUUGGAUUAGCUAGUUGGUGGGGUAAAGGCCUACCAAGGCGACGAUCCAUAGCUGGUCUGAGAGGAUGAUCAGCCACAUUGGGACUGAGACACGGCCCAAACUCCUACGGGAGGCAGCAGUGGGGAAUAUUAGACAAUGGGCGCAAGCCUGAUCCAGCCAUGCCGCGUGAGUGAUGAAGGCCUUAGGGUUGUAAAGCUCUUUCACCGAUGAAGAUAAUGACGGUAGUCGGAGAAGAAGCCCCGGCUAACUUCGUG
rnacentral:rRNA from 1 species